ACUAUGAAUGAACACAUGUGGAAUUAUGUACUUAACAAAAAAAGCAAAGGGUGGCUACUUUGAAGAAACUAGAAUAUAAGACAUGUUUUCAGUUAUUUCACACUUUUUUGUUAAGUACAUAAUUCCACAUGUGUUCAUUCAUAGUUUUGAUGCCUUCAGUGAGAAUCUACAAUGUAAAUAGUCAUGAAAAUAAAGGAAACGCAUUGAAUGAGAAGGUGUGUCCAAACUUUUGGCCUGUACUGUAU